rnacentral:rRNA from 1 species
UACAGAGGUCUCAAGCGUUGUUCGGAUUCAUUGGGCGUAAAGGGCGCGUAGGCGGCGGGGUCAGUCGGGUGUGAAAUCUUGGGGCUUAACCCCGAAACGGUACUCGAAACUGCCCGGCUGGAGGGCCGGAGAGGAGAUCGGAAUUCACGGUGUAGCAGUGAAAUGCGUAGAGAUCGUGAGGAAGACCCGUGGCGAAGGCGGAUCUCUGGACGGCUAACUGACGCUGAGGCGCGAAGGCCAGGGGAGCAAACGGG